rnacentral:rRNA from 1 species
UACGAAGGGGGCUAGCGUUGUUCGGAAUUACUGGGCGUAAAGCGCACGUAGGCGGAUACUUAAGUCAGGGGUGAAAUCCCGGGGCUCAACCCCGGAACUGCCUUUGAUACUGGGUAUCUGGAGUCCGGAAGAGGUGAGUGGAAUUCCGAGUGUAGAGGUGAAAUUCGUAGAUAUUCGGAGGAACACCAGUGGCGAAGGCGGCUCACUGGUCCGGUACUGACGCUGAGGUGCGAAAGCGUGGGGAG